UAGCUGUGAUGAUAUUUGCACUUCUGUGUUGGAGGGGUCCUUCACCAUUAUCUUCUUUAAGAUAUAAAUCAAGUGCUUCUGAGCUU